GUUAUAUGGUCAAGUGAAGAAGCGCAUACGGUGGAUGCCUUGGCAGUCAGAGGCGAUGAAAGACGUGGUAGCCUGCGAAAAGCUUCGGGGAGUCGGCAAACAGACUUUGAUCCGGAGAUGUCUGAAUGGGGGAACCCAGCCAUCAUAAGAUGGUUACCUUACACUGAAUACAUAGGUGUAAGGAGCGAACCAGGGGAACUGAAACAUCUAAGUACCCUGAGGAAAAGAAAUCAACCGAGAUUCCCUUAGUAGUGGCGAGCGAACGGGGACUAGCCCUUAAGUGGCUUUGAGAUUAGCGGAACGCUCUGGAAAGUGCGGCCAUAGUGGGUGAUAGCCCUGUACGCGAAAAUCUCUUAGUCAUGAAAUCGAGUAGGACGGAGCACGAGAAACUUUGUCUGAAUAUGGGGGGACCAUCCUCCAAGGCUAAAUACUACUGACUGACCGAUAGUGAACUAGUACCGUGAGGGAAAGGCGAAAAGAACCCCGGAGAGGGGAGUGAAAUAGAUCCUGAAACCGUAUGCGUACAAGCAGUGGGAGCAGACUUUGUUCUGUGACUGCGUACCUUUUGUAUAAUGGGUCAGCGACUUAUUUUCAGUGGCGAGCUUAACCGAAUAGGGGAGGCGUAGCGAAAGCGAGUCUUAAUAGGGCGUCUAGUCGCUGGGAAUAGACCCGAAACCGGGCGAUCUAUCCAUGGGCAGGUUGAAGGUUGGGUAACACUAACUGGAGGACCGAACCGACUACCGUUGAAAAGUUAGCGGAUGACCUGUGGAUCGGAGUGAAAGGCUAAUCAAGCUCGGAGAUAGCUGGUUCUCCUCGAAAGCUAUUUAGGUAGCGCCUCAUGUAUCACUGUAGGGGGUAGAGCACUGUUUCGGCUAGGGGGUCAUCCCGACUUACCAAACCGAUGCAAACUCCGAAUACCUACAAGUGCCGAGCAUGGGAGACACACGGCGGGUGCUAACGUCCGUCGUGAAAAGGGAAACAACCCAGACCGUCAGCUAAGGUCCCAAAGUUAUGGUUAAGUGGGAAACGAUGUGGGAAGGCUUAGACAGCUAGGAGGUUGGCUUAGAAGCAGCCACCCUUUAAAGAAAGCGUAAUAGCUCACUAGUCGAGUCGGCCUGCGCGGAAGAUGUAACGGGGCUCAAACCAUACACCGAAGCUACGGGUAUCACGUAAGUGAUGCGGUAGAGGAGCGUUCUGUAAGCCUGUGAAGGUGAGUUGAGAAGCUUGCUGGAGGUAUCAGAAGUGCGAAUGCUGACAUGAGUAACGAUAAUGGGUGUGAAAAACACCCACGCCGAAAGACCAAGGUUUCCUGCGCAACGUUAAUCGACGCAGGGUUAGUCGGUCCCUAAGGCGAGGCUGAAAAGCGUAGUCGAUGGAAAACAGGUUAAUAUUCCUGUACUUCUGGUUAUUGCGAUGGAGGGACGGAGAAGGCUAGGCCAGCUUGGCGUUGGUUGUCCAAGUUUAAGGUGGUAGGCUGAGAUCUUAGGUAAAUCCGGGAUCUUAAGGCCGAGAGCUGAUGACGAGUUGUCUUUUAGAUGACGAAGUGGUUGAUGCCAUGCUUCCAAGAAAAGCUUCUAAGCUUCAGGUAACCAGGAACCGUACCCCAAACCGACACAGGUGGUUGGGUAGAGAAUACCAAGGCGCUUGAGAGAACUCGGGUGAAGGAACUAGGCAAAAUGGCACCGUAACUUCGGGAGAAGGUGCGCCGGUGAGGGUGAAGGACUUGCUCCGUAAGCCCAUGCCGGUCGAAGAUACCAGGCCGCUGCGACUGUUUAUUAAAAACACAGCACUCUGCAAACACGAAAGUGGACGUAUAGGGUGUGACGCCUGCCCGGUGCCGGAAGGUUAAUUGAUGGGGUUAGCUAACGCGAAGCUCUUGAUCGAAGCCCCGGUAAACGGCGGCCGUAACUAUAACGGUCCUAAGGUAGCGAAAUUCCUUGUCGGGUAAGUUCCGACCUGCACGAAUGGCGUAACGAUGGCGGCGCUGUCUCCACCCGAGACUCAGUGAAAUUGAAAUCGCUGUGAAGAUGCAGUGUAUCCGCGGCUAGACGGAAAGACCCCGUGAACCUUUACUAUAGCUUUGCACUGGACUUUGAAUUUGCUUGUGUAGGAUAGGUGGGAGGCUUUGAAGCGUGGACGCCAGUUCGCGUGGAGCCAACCUUGAAAUACCACCCUGGCAACUUUGAGGUUCUAACUCAGGUCCGUUAUCCGGAUCGAGGACAGUGUAUGGUGGGUAGUUUGACUGGGGCGGUCUCCUCCUAAAGAGUAACGGAGGAGUACGAAGGUGCGCUCAGACCGGUCGGAAAUCGGUCGUAGAGUAUAAAGGCAAAAGCGCGCUUGACUGCGAGACAGACACGUCGAGCAGGUACGAAAGUAGGUCUUAGUGAUCCGGUGGUUCUGUAUGGAAGGGCCAUCGCUCAACGGAUAAAAGGUACUCCGGGGAUAACAGGCUGAUACCGCCCAAGAGUUCAUAUCGACGGCGGUGUUUGGCACCUCGAUGUCGGCUCAUCACAUCCUGGGGCUGAAGCCGGUCCCAAGGGUAUGGCUGUUCGCCAUUUAAAGUGGUACGCGAGCUGGGUUUAGAACGUCGUGAGACAGUUCGGUCCCUAUCUGCCGUGGACGUUUGAGAUUUGAGAGGGGCUGCUCCUAGUACGAGAGGACCGGAGUGGACGAACCUCUGGUGUUCCGGUUGUCACGCCAGUGGCAUUGCCGGGUAGCUAUGUUCGGAAUAGAUAACCGCUGAAAGCAUCUAAGCGGGAAACUAGCCUCAAGAUGAGAUCUCACUGGGACCUUGAGUCCCCUGAAGGGCCGUCGAAGACUACGACGUUGAUAGGUUGGGUGUGUAAGCGCUGUGAGGCGUUGAGCUAACCAAUACUAAUUGCCCGUGAGGCUUGACCAUAUAACACCCAAGCAAUU
rnacentral:rRNA from 2 species